UACACUUUAAAUCCUUUAACGAGGAUCUAUUGGGGGGCAAGUCUGGUGCCAGCAGCCGCGGUAAUUCCAGCUCCAAUAGCGUAUAUUAAUUUUGUUGCGGUUAAAAAGCUCGUAGUUGGAUCUCGGUUUCGGGCGAGCGGUGUACCUUGCGGUAUUUACUGUUUGCCCGGACGAUUUUGUUGGUUCGUUUAUGGUUCUCUUAACCGAGUGCCAUAAGUGGCCAGCACGUUUACUUUGAAAAAAUUGGAGUGCUCAAAGCAGGCGCUACAGCCUGAACAUUAGUGCAUGGAAUAAUGGAAUAGGAUCUCGGUUCUAUUUCGUUGGCUUUCGGAGUCGAGGUAAUGAUUAAUAGGGACAGACGGGGGCAUUCGUACUGCGACGUUAGAGGUGAAAUUCUUGGAUCGUCGCAAGACGAACUACUGCGAAAGCAUUUGCCAAGAAUGUUUUCAUUAAUCAAGAACGAAAGUUAGAGGUUCGAAGGCGAUCAGAUACCGCCCUAGUUCUAACCAUAAACGAUGUCGACCGGCGAUCCGUUAUCGUUAACUGAAUGACUUAACGGGCAGCCUCCGGGAAACCAGAGUGUUUGGAUUCCGGGGAAGUAUGGUUGCAAAGCUGAAACUUAAAGGAAUUGACGGAAGGGCACCACCAGGAGUGGAGCCUGCGGCUUAAUUUGACCCAACACGGGAAAUCUCACCAGGCCCGGACACCGGAAGGAUUGACAGAUUGAGAGCUCUUUCUUGAUUCGGUGGGUGGUGGUGCAUGGCCGUUCUUAGUUGGUGGAGCGAUUUGUCUGGUUAAUUCCGAUAACGAACGAGACUCUGGCCUACUAACUAGACGUUAGAUCCCUUUGUGGGUCUAUCGCAGCUUCUUAGAGGGACGGGCGGCGUUUAGCCGCACGAGAUUGAGCAAUAACAGGUCUGUGAUGCCCUUAGAUGUUCUGGGCUGCACGCGCGCUACACUGAAGGAAUCAGCGUGUGUUCCCUACCCGAAAGGGUUGGGAAACCCGUUGAACCUCCUUCGUGAUGGGGAUUGGGGAUUGCAAUUAUUCCCCAUGAACGAGGAAUUCCCAGUAAGCGCGAGUCAUAAGCUUGCGCUGAUUACGUCCCUGCCCUUUGUACACACCGCCCGUCGCUACUACCGAUCGAGUGAUUUAGUGAGGCCUUCGGACUGGUCUUCAGUAUGGCUUUCGGGUCGUGUUGGAGUACCGGAAAGAUGACCAAACUUGAUCACUUAGAGGAAGUAAAAGUC
rnacentral:rRNA from 1 species